rnacentral:rRNA from 1 species
UGGGGAAUAUUGCACAAUGGGCGCAAGCCUGAUGCAGCCAUGCCGCGUGUAUGAAGAAGGCCUUCGGGUUGUAAAGUACUUUCAGUCGGGAGGAAGGUGUCAAGGUUAAUAACCUUGGCAAUUGACGUUACCGACAGAAGAAGCACCGGCUAACUCCGUGCCAGCAGCCGCGGUAAUACGGAGGGUGCAAGCGUUAAUCGGAAUUACUGGGCGUAAAGCGCACGCAGGCGGUUGAUUGAGUCAGAUGUGAAAUCCCCGGGCUUAACCCGGGAAUUGCAUCUGAUACUGGUCAGCUAGAGUCUUGUAGAGGGGGGUAGAAUUCCAUGUGUAGCGGUGAAAUGCGUAGAGAUGUGGAGGAAUACCGGUGGCGAAGGCGGCCACCUGGACAAAGACUGACGCUCAGGUGCGAAAGCGUGGGGAGCAAACAGG